AAAGAAAUAUAAUAUAAAAAGCUUCUAACUUUUUUAAUUAGCAUUUGUUUGUUAA
rnacentral:tRNA from 1 species